rnacentral:sRNA from 1 species
UUGAAACAUAUUCCUCUAGCUUUGGUCUUUUUUUAAAAGAAUUGGUUAUAAACAUUGAAUAUUAUAAAAGUGUUUUUCUGAUACUUGUUGAAGUGAUAAACCUUAGGAAUGUACUUUACAUAACAACAUACUACCUGAUAACAACUUAUGAAAUGAAUGCUGUGUGAACAUUACUUUCCUAGAUUAAAUAAUUCUUAUCUAGGCAAACAAUUUAAAGCAAGUUUAGAAAUUGCUCAUGCAAUUUUUUAAGGGCCCAAGCUGAUAGUAUCACAAACAAGAAAUUCAAACAUCUAGUAAGUAGUUACACAGUGUUGAAAUAUUUUAGCAAUGCAAAUGCAGUGUUCUUCAAUUUCACCUCAAAGGCAGACGUGCAUCUUUCAGAGGAUAGGGUCUUAAAACAACUUCCAAACACAGAGGGAUGAGGAGUCACGAGCCAUUACUAUCUCAGGUUCCUCAGUGGGUAGAGGAGCUAAUUUUCAUGUAGUUCCUGGGAGGCCCGUCUUCGUGUUGGAGGAAGCUCAGAUCCCAAAGAACAAGGUUUGGCUGGGAUUAACACUGUCACCUGCUCUUAAUGCUUUCAUGCCGUCAAGACGGGCCACGGCAACAGUGGGGUUCUUGGAAGAAACACAGAAACAGCCAUGCACUGAGGCUCCAUGGGGGAGGGGCAUAAAAUGCAAUCCAAGAAGACAUGUUAUGGAGGUACAGAGAUUAGAACUCUCCUCAUAUAGUUUCAUUCAUGGACUCUGUUCAGACAGCAGCUGAAUCAUAUUCCAUAAUGCAUGGGUAACCAUUUUCUGCGGAAUGAUGUUCAGUUUGUUUCCACUGAUUGACUACCAGGAAUGGGGAAGCAGCGAGCAUGACCGAGUAGCCGUCUGUGCACAGAGAGGUUGAGUUCACUGAGAACAUACCAGGAAAUGGUAUAGGUUUUUAACUUCACUAUUGCUCAAGAAUUUGAUGAAUGGAUGAUUUUUGGUAUAGAUUCCUCCACAUCUCCUCUUCCCAAGAUUCCACUGGGUCCUUGCAAACAACAGAGCAACUCACUGAGACACCAGUGUCCUGGAGAGACCAGAAUCGAAGAAGCUUAUGAAUGAUUUGACACGGACGCCGUGUGUCUUUCCGUGCCGUGCUCAGGACGGAUUAAUGCCUUCCCCGCUCAGCCAUCGUCAGAGAAGCUUCCUCCUGCAGUAGAUGUGAACGAAAACAGAGACCCACGGCAGGACAUCAUGCAGAGUGUGUGACCUUGGAACACUCAGACCUAAACAGAUGCCUUCACCGUAUCCCUCCCUUUCUAAGCUCAGGGAACCCUGCUGAAGGGAAGACAAAAAAGGUAUAAGAGUCAGGGGGUGUGGAAAACAAGGAAACGAGGCCUUGCAUGAACUCAUACAUGAACUCAUACAUGAACACAUACAUGAACUCAUACAUGAACACACACAUGAACUCAGAAAUAGAAAUAGGCAGUUUGCACAGGGCCUGCACAAGACCGGGUCCUAACAGUUGAAAGGAAAAGAGGAUAUAUUUCCCCAUUCUCAACCCAGAAGCCAUUGCCAAUUGAUAACCACUUGCAAAUGAAAAUUUUGCUUUCUCCAAGGGAGUCAGUCUUACUGAGGAAACAAACUACUCUUAGCUGUAGGUUGCAGGGCCAGCACUAGAUGGCCUACAGAAAAUGGACUCAACAUGUCUUUGGAGGUUCCUUGUCUCAUAACAUC